CACGUAAUACCUUUUCUCACGAAUCUUCUCCCCGUGUCUUCUUCACGGCCUCCCCUGAGCUCUCCAGUCUCCACCUUGCCCGAGCGCGCUCAACCCUGCCCUGACGAGAAGCUUCAAUUCAUCACCGACCGGAUUUUAGGCCGAGGUUGGAUCUCGAGGCGGCGAAUCUCAGGGUCGUUGGGGCUGACGGGCAAGCAUCUGGCGACGGCGGAUCGGUCCGUGGGCGGCUAGCGGAGACCCGUGGAGGCAGGGAGAGAGGGUCGGGAACCGGUGGCGGCGGCGGCCAAACCCUAGGCAGCGUUGCUCCAGUGUGUGCGAGCGGUGAUGGCCGGAUCGAGCUGGUACCUGUGCGGCUGGUGGCAUCUCAGGUAAUCCAAGCGGUGAACUACAGGUAAGUUGGGUACUCCAAACCUUGCCUGAUGCUCCUUUUGUUCUUGAUAAUGUGGAGCUAACUAGCUGAGCCGGAUGGUUACGGAUCGAAAAAAGGUUGCGGCGCCCGGCCCUUUUAAAGCUGCUCUGGUGGUUUCGACCUGGAGCAUGCGCGGCGGUCUCCGGCGACCAAGAAAAUGGCGGCGCGGCCGUAUGCGUCGGAGCAGCGGUGUGGUGUGCAUGUAUGGCCUACAGGCAAGAAGUGGCAAACGUGCGUGCGUGUGUAAUGGAGCAACCAAUUUUUGCAAUCGUUAGAAAAAGGAGCUUGGUUGUCGAUGUUGCCCCUUGGUUCAUGGCGCUGUCAGGUGUCAGCCGUGAUUUCUUCUUCUCUGUCGGAUUGGCAUGUUAGUGCUGCUGCAAAUUAUGGUGGGCCGGCACUGCUGUGGUGGUUUACGGAGGGAUCAGUGUUGGUUUAUUUGAUGCUGAUCAUUUUGGACCUCUGGUACAUGUGCAAUUGGCCCGGAAUUGUGCGGUGUUUCUUCAGACCACUUUGUUCAUGAAGGCAGGCAAACUCUGCGCGGAGGAGAAGAAACCCUUCCGAAAGAUGUAUCCCGUCUGUUGAAUUGCUUGAAAUUACUUGUGCAGUGUAUUCAUGAUCCGGGAAUUCAGAAGCGGGAGACACGAGAAAAAAGCUUGAUUUUGUUGUGGUGGACUGUCAGUGUCAGGUAAACACUACACAACCAAAGAAUUAGGCCGAGUUCCUCCUAUUGUACUCAACACUAUGAGAUAUAAGAGGUAUUAAAAAGGAGUCAUGUAAGUGACUAGCUUAUUUUCCCAGUAUGUUUAUUUCAGUGCUCCGACCAUCAACGGCCACUUAAUAUUCUUCAUGACCAACAUGUCUUGCCCCAAUAUCCCAAUGCACGACUGACUUAAUUAUAGAUUAUUGUUCCUCCUAUGUUUUCAGUUAAAAAUAUCGUUUGACACACCUCAGAACUUUCUUCUGAAUGUGUGAUGGUACAAUGGAGAGUCUACUACCAGGAAAUCGAGUGAAUAUGUUAAAAUAAUCAGCAAAGUAAGCGAUCUGUGUAUACAAUGAACCUCUAUGAUGCAGAAAGAUGUACAGGUCAACUGACCACCCACUGAGAAUUUGCUUCACACAGAAAAUAAUUCUUAAAAAGGUUGUACCCCGUACAAGGCUUUCCUAUGUUUGCCAACAAUGCAUUUCCUUUUUUUAGUGCCACAAGAAUGCAUGAAUCAAAAUAGUAGAUAUCACAUAUGCCACGAUAGAUAGAUCACCAACUUAAAAGUGAUUUUAUUUACACUUGGGCAUAAUUUUGGUGAGCUGUCAUUGUGAAAUUUUCAUUUGUGAAACUUCUCUCUAUUGCAGCUAAACUAUAUAUGAAUUGCGAAAUAUAUUGACUAUUUCCUGCAGUUGAGUUUUUUUUUAUUAACUAGACUAUUUAGUAACUUGAGUCCAGUUCUGAUUUGUCCCUACAUGGUGUACAUUCAUGUUCCACACUAUAGUUGUUUUUUGUCUGGCCAACCAUAGUAUGGGGAUUUUCUAAGAAUUUAUUAACAUGCUAAUUAGGCAUUUUAUUUAUUGUAUCCACCUUGGACUAUGCUAUUGUUCAGUUCCUAAUUAACAAUGCAAGUUUUUUGUUGCUAAGUGAUGCUAACAACACUAUUUUGCUAAAUCAAGAACGCUGUUUGUGCCCAUUUGAGCUAUAUUACAGUGAUAUUUUCUAGGGACUUCAGUUUGUUCAGCCCAAGGCAAACCACAUCACCUAUCUACAGAAAUGCUCAAAAUUGGCAUGGCUUGAAGGUAAUAAUACUGCUCAACUACAAAUAAUUAUAGUUUGUGUUCGGUGUCUUGGUAAUGCAUCCAUUUAUCUGGAACAUAAAACAUUUGUAAUGAACGUCUCCACCUGUUUUGAGAAAGUUACUUAAUAUGGAACGAUUAGCUCUAUUAGCAUUUUCUGAUGCGAUGGAAAGAAACCUUUGAAAAAUUAUAACCUACUAGAAAGGGAUGGCACAUCCAUGUUAUCUGAUGGUUGUUCCCGUGGAGGUAAUGCUUAUCAUAGGCUCUCUUCGAGGCUCCGUUGAGGCACUUGGAAAUUUAUUUAUUUACAAAUUUGAGUAUUUCAUCGUAUUUCUAGAGAACACAACAUAUAUUGGCUCACGCAACUAUGCUUUCUUUUAUGUUACACAAUUCUUUUUAAGGAAUUACAGCAGGAGAGACUCCUACUGCUCAUGUAUAUUAAAAAACUAUUUUACAUUACAUUUUAAAAUGCCAUGGAAAGGCCAUGGCUCAUGCCUUCAACUCUAGACUCUCAAAGUUGGAACUAAUCUUACACCAACUAUUGUUGUGCAUGUCAUCUUCUGUAUCAAUUUCUCAGAAUACUGCAUCCAUAUGUGCAACCGUUAGAAAGAUCGUCUUGAAUGCUAGCUCAUUCAUGUAUGGCCAUACAAAAAACUUCUUUGGUUCAGUUAUUUUCAUACAGUAAUUCGGAUAAAUCUAUCUUUGUUUUUCCAUACAGGAAUUCACAUAUGAGGCACACCCAUCUUUCUCCUUUUAUGCACUAAGGUACAUGCAUCUCUGAUGGUUUUUGCAUGUUGGGUGUCUGAUGAGUUGAUUCUUAGGAACUUAGGUAGAGAAAGAGUUGGCUAUGAAUAACAUGAAUCAAUUCAUCAGAAAAAAUUGGCUACGAAUAACAUGAUAUAUCCUAUGCUCUUAUCUACGAUUCUUCGAGCUGGCUAUUCUUUCUUUUCUUAUCUUCCUAGAGUUGUAUUCUUAUCUUGAACACAAACUAUAGCCUGUGAGCUGAGCUACCUUCUGAUAAUUACAUCAUGGUGUCUAUCUGUCAUUCUGAAGGUGGUAUUAUUUAUAUUAGAAGCCAGUCUUCAGAUACCAUAAAGUUUGAUCACACAUCUCACUGUUUGUAUCAUGGUGUCUAUCUUACAUUCAUGAUUGAACUAGAUAAUUGUUGCCCUAUACUGAACUAACCUGGCACAAAUAUCAGUAAGAUAUCUCCUUUCAUUAAAUGUUACUACCUCACAUAAAAUUUAGCGUCAUGUGCCAACUGUUGGACUAAUUUGCAACACCGUCGGUUCUGGCCAUUCCUCACACUCUCCUGGAUGAAGGUUUCAGUAUAAUCAGUGUUCCUUUUAAAAUCAAGAAGUUUCAGGCGGUGCAGAGUUAGGAUAUGUUUUUUCUCCAAAUAUAUUCAGAUGCUCUUAUUGAUGCAACAAUAAUAUAAAUAUUAGAGGUAAGAAUAAUUAGGUGAAAGUAGCAGCUAAAUUACUUUUGCUGUAAUGCAUGGAUAGUGCAGGGUUUGUACGCUUGGAUGUUGCGGCUUAUGCUAAUAUGCUGAUGGCUAUUCCAAGUUUGUGUGACUCAUCACUACUUCUUUAUCUCACAUUUUUACCAGUUUGGAGAAAUAAGGCAUGUAUAAUAUUGUUUCAUUGAAGGAUCAUGUUCUUUUUUUAUCAAUUGCUUAGUUAUGCUCCCAUUUUCCAAUUGAUCUCCAACCAUUAGUGAUAGAUAGUUUAAGAAGUCUCACGUCAUUGUCCAGUUUGAUUGAAUAAUAGCUCGGGAUUAGUCCAUUGCGGUGUGUUCUCAUAAUAGAUAGAUUUUCUUUCAUCAGUUUAAUAUCUCUGCCAGUACGACUAGAUGGAGUUUCAGGAUUGUGACAAUUAUUCAGUUAUGUUGUAACUUUUGUGUUAUCAAAUCUUUUAAGGAAUAUUUUACGAGGGUGUGUGUAAUAUCACUACCACUAUGACAUUGAUGGAGUUUCAAGAAUGUGAUAGUACGAUGUGUUUCGAGAGAUUACCUUCUUUGGUGCAUCUACAACGGUUUUGCAUGGUCUCAUGGUCAGCCUAAACUAAAUAAGUAGUUUUAUGUGCUUUAAUCCUCAUUCGAAAUACUAGGUCUUCUUUUAAGUUCGAAAGCUUGCUAACUUGUGCAAAUUCAAUAUCAAGCAACGACGACGAGCUUUUCUUAUAGCAUGAUGCAAGUAAAAUUUACCACCUCAAAAAAAAGUAAAAUUUACAAAUCUGGUGGUGCUUACUCUCACAUGGAACCCUACGACUCUGCCAUGCUGGUAUGGUGUUUGUACUACUUAGCAAAAUAAAUUAUCAAGGGUCCUCAGUUAGAUAUCUUAUAUCUGUCCAUUGUGCCUUUACACACUUAAUUUUUUUCUGUAUUUGAAUCAUGGGAGCACACUAUGCUCUCCAAACUCCAGCAAGUUGUAUUUUCCUUCCAAAAGAUUGGGGCUAAUUCAUCUCUUGAUAUAGGGUUUCCUCCUUGGUUCAUAGGAUUUGUUCGUCUACAGUAUUAUUCUGAACAUACUAGAAUACAGAAAAAACUAAAGAGUUGCAUCUUAAAAAAAAAUAGGAUAUACAUGGCAUACCACUGUAUCUGUGAUUUACAUUUUGUGUUCAUAAAUUAUGCUGGCUAAUAUGAAAACUUCAGUCACCCAUACGCUUCAGUUUUUACAGUUCACAUCAAUAUAUGUGACAUUCAUGCCAUUGACAUAUAACUUUGUAGAAUACGUGAAGACAUAUGAAUUUUGCAUGUUUCUUAACAUAUGCUUUACUUGUGAACAGGUAUUUAAUUAUCCAAUUUCCUUUUAUUAUUUCAGGUAUGUACCAUGUCCAAUACAAGUACUGAAUUAUACAGAUCUCAAGUUUCAUUAAUGCAGUGCAUCUCCUUAGUGUCUGAAAGCAUCUAGAAUUCGAGUAGUAUGUGGGAAUAUUGGUCCUUCAGGGGCUAUUAAUGACAGUUGUUUUGAUUUAUAUAUGUAUCAUGUGUCGUGGUUUGAGGGAUCAAAGAAAGCUAGAUAUGCCAAAAUCUCAGGAUAAGCUAAACCUAAUAUAAGAAGGCAAUGAGUGACCGAAGAGGUUAGUAAAAAAUGUCUUACCUUGCAGUACAGAAAGAAUAUGUCACCAAAGGGCACUAUCUUACUGUUGCAGUUGUCUGCCAUCUUUCCUAUGUUUUCUCUUACAUGGAGUUCAGUCUGGAGCCGACCAUAUAUGGUAUCAAGUUAUCCAUGGAGUUGUUUUUUUUUCUUCUAAACUAAUAGCAACUUCUGGCACUCAGGUGACAUUGUAAGAGGUAGUACUGUAUCGUUCCAUGGA